rnacentral:rRNA from 1 species
AUUGAACGCUGGCGGCAUGCUUUACACAUGCAAGUCGAACGGCAGCGCGGGGCAACCUGGCGGCGAGUGGCGAACGGGUGAGUAAUACAUCGGAACGUACCCAGAAGUGGGGGAUAACGUAGCGAAAGUUACGCUAAUACCGCAUACGUUCUACGGAAGAAAGUGGGGGAUCGCAAGACCUCAUGCUUUUGGAGCGGCCGAUGUCUGAUUAGCUAGUUGGUGAGGUAAAGGCUCACCAAGGCGACGAUCAGUAGCUGGUCUGAGAGGACGACCAGCCACACUGGGACUGAGACACGGCCCAGACUCCUACGGGAGGCAGC